rnacentral:rRNA from 1 species
GACACACGGCGGGUGCUAACGUCCGUCGUGAAGAGGGAAACAACCCAGACCGCCAGCUAAGGUCCCAAAGUCAUGGUUAAGUGGGAAACGAUGUGGGAAGGCCCAGACAGCCAGGAUGUUGGCUUAGAAGCAGCCAUCAUUUAAAGAAAGCGUAAUAGCUCACUGGUCGAGUCGGCCUGCGCGGAAGAUGUAACGGGGCUAAACCAUGCACCGAAGCUGCGGCAGCGACACUCAGGUGUUGUUGGGUAGGGGAGCGUUCUGUAAGCCUGCGAAGGUGGCCUGUGAGGGUUGCUGGAGGUAUCAGAAGUGCGAAUGCUGACAUAAGUAACGAUAAAGCGGGUGAAAAGCCCGCUCGCCGGAAGACCAAGGGUUCCUGUCCAACGUUAAUCGGGGCAGGGUGAGUCGACCCCUAAGGCGAGGCCGAAAGGCGUAGUCGAUGGGAAACGGGUUAAUAUUCCCGUACUUGGUGUUACUGCGAAGGGGGGACGGAGAAGGCUAUGUUGGCCGGGCGACGGUUGUCCCGGUUUAAGCGUGUAGGUGUGUGUUCCAGGUAAAUCCGGUUCACUUUAACACUGAGGCGUGACGACGAGGCACUACGGUGCUGAAGCAACAAAUGCCCUGCUUCCAGGAAAAGCCUCUAAGCAUCAGGUAACAUCAAAUCGUACCCCAAACCGACACAGGUGGUCAGGUAGAGAAUACCAAGGCGCUUGAGAGAACUCGGGUGAAGGAACUAGGCAAAAUGGUGCCGUAACUUCGGGAGAAGGCACGCUGACACGUAGGUGAAGUGAUUUACUCACGGAGCUGAAGUCAGUCGAAGAUACCAGCUGGCUGCAACUGUUUAUUAAAAACACAGCACUGUGCAAACACGAAAGUGGACGUAUACGGUGUGACGCCUGCCCGGUGCCGGAAGGUUAAUUGAUGGGGUCAGCGCAAGCGAAGCUCCUGAUCGAAGCCCCGGUAAACGGCGGCCGUAACUAUAACGGUCCUAAGGUAGCGAAAUUCCUUGUCGGGUAAGUUCCGACCUGCACGAAUGGCGUAAUGAUGGCCAGGCUGUCUCCACCCGAGACUCAGUGAAAUUGAACUCGCUGUGAAGAUGCAGUGUACCCGCGGCAAGACGGAAAGACCCCGUGAACCUUUACUAUAGCUUGACACUGAACAUUGAGCCUUGAUGUGUAGGAUAGGUGGGAGGCUUUGAAGUGUGGACGCCAGUCUGCAUGGAGCCGACCUUGAAAUACCACCCUUUAAUGUUUGAUGUUCUAACGUGGACCCGUGAUCCGGGUUGCGGACAGUGUCUGGUGGGUAGUUUGACUGGGGCGGUCUCCUCCUAAAGAGUAACGGAGGAGCACGAAGGUUGGCUAAUCCUGGUCGGACAUCAGGAGGUUAGUGCAAUGGCAUAAGCCAGCUUGACUGCGAGCGUGACGGCGCGAGCAGGUGCGAAAGCAGGUCAUAGUGAUCCGGUGGUUCUGAAUGGAAGGGCCAUCGCUCAACGGAUAAAAGGUACUCCGGGGAUAACAGGCUGAUACCGCCCAAGAGUUCAUAUCGACGGCGGUGUUUGGCACCUCGAUGUCGGCUCAUCACAUCCUGGGGCUGAAGUAGGUCCCAAGGGUAUGGCUGUUCGCCAUUUAAAGUGGUACGCGAGCUGGGUUUAGAACGUCGUGAGACAGUUCGGUCCCUAUCUGCCGUGGGCGCUGGAGAACUGAGGGGGGCUGCUCCUAGUACGAGAGGACCGGAGUGGACGCAUCACUGGUGUUCGGGUUGUCAUGCCAAUGGCACUGCCCGGUAGCUAAAUGCGGAAGAGAUAAGUGCUGAAAGCAUCUAAGCACGAAACUUGCCCCGA